GACGAACGCUGGCGGCGUGCCUAAUACAUGCAAGUAGAACGCACAGUUUAUACCGUAGCUUGCUACACCAUAAACUGUGAGUUGCGAACGGGUGAGUAACGCGUAGGUAACCUGCCUGGUAGCGGGGGAUAACUAUUGGAAACGAUAGCUAAUACCGCAUAAUAUUGAUUAUUGCAUGAUAAUUGAUUGAAAUAUGCUAUUGCAUCACUACCAGAUGGACCUGCGUUGUAUUAGCUAGUAGGUGAGGUAACGGCUCACCUAGGCGACGAUACAUAGCCGACCUGAGAGGGUGAUCGGCCAAACUGGGACUGAGACACGGCCCAGACUCCUACGGGAGGCAGCAGUAGGGAAUCUUCGGCAAUGGACGAAAGUCUGACCGAGCAACGCCGCGUGAGUGAAGAAGGUUUUCGGAUCGUAAAGCUCUGUUGUAAGAGAAGAACGGGUGUGAGAGUGGAAAGUUCACACUGUGACGGUAUCUUACCAGAAAGGGACGGCUAACUACGUG
rnacentral:rRNA from 1 species